UACGGAGGGUGCAAACGUUGUCCGGAAUCACUGGGCGUAAAGCGCAUGUAGGUGGUUUGGUAAGUGAAUGAUUAAAGACCGAUGCUUAACAUCGGGCCGGUUAUUCAUACUGCCUGACUCGAGUAUAGCAGGGGUAAGCGGAACUUUAGGUGUAGGAGUGAAAUCCGUAGAUAUCUAAAGGAACACCAAUGGCGAAGGCAGCUUACUGGGCUAUUACUGACACUGAGAUGCGAAAGUGUGGGGAGCAAACGGG
rnacentral:rRNA from 1 species